AUACUUACCUGGACGGGGUGUACGGGCGAUCAUCAAGGCUCGUGGCCUAAGUCAACGGCUGCCAUUGCACUGCGGUUGCGCGUUGGUUUACCAUCUCCUCAAGUGGGAGAGUGGACGUCAUAAUUUGUGGUAGAGGGGGUACGCGCUUGCGCGACCCCUAC